rnacentral:rRNA from 1 species
CUACUAGGGUAUCUAAUCCUGUUUGCUCCCCACGCUUUCGCACCUCAGCGUCAAUACAUGUCCAGUUAGUCGCCUUCGCCACUGGUGUUCUUCCGAAUAUCUACGAAUUUCACCUCUACACUCGGAAUUCCACUAACCUCUCCAUGAUUCAAGCGAUGCAGUCUUAAAGGCAGUUCCGGAGUUGAGCCCCGGGCUUUCACCUCUAACUUACAAAGCCGCCUACGUGCGCUUUACGCCCAGUAAUUCCGAACAACGCUAGCCCCCUCCGUAUUACCGCGGCUGCUGGCAC